CAGUCUAGAGGUAAAAGAGUUAGUUAUUGAUCCUAAAGAACUAGCCUAUCCUGUGAAUACACCAAGAGAAAGGACAGUAUAUAGUGUAAAAGAUAUACUGUCUGCUAUUGACAAGGGAGAAAGGUACUUAGUACAUGAUAAUGAAACAAAAACAGAAUUAAAGGAGGUCCUACCUGAUGAAUCAUUAUCAGAUAUUAGUAACCUGUCACUAUUAGGAGGACGUGACAUUAAGGAAGUGAUAAAAAAUUCAACACAGACACUACAAUAAAGCACCUACAAAAAUGGAUACAAUAGAAGAAAAGAUGCAUUAAUUGCUACUAACAUUAGAUGAUUGUCCAUAGUAUUCCCCUUUGUUCUGUUUAUUAUUAUUUUUGCUGAUGCUUUCGCUGUCUCUAUAAUUAGAAUUACCACUGAUAGUUUCAAACUAUGUUUCUUAUUAGCAA